CAUAGUUUUCAAAUAAAUAUGUAUAGUUUUACAGAUGGAAUAAAAAUUAAAUUGUCUCAAAUACAUAUGAAAAAGCACAUCUAUUGGUCGCCAACGUGAGCUUACAUAUGUUCAAUCAAAUCAUUUUGCAUUUGCAUGUGAGUUUCCCAAUCACGCAUUUUAUAAUGAAAUUAGGCGAACUGUUCAAACGUUGCCGCUCCUCCAUGCUCACGCAUAACAUUCUCAUCGUAAAAUUAAAACCCUUGAUGGUAGAUACGUUCCGGACGCUCAUCUUCUACAAUCGUAUUAUGCAUAAUCAUACAAGUCGUCGUCACUUCCCACAACUACUUGGUGCUUCAAGUCCUAGCAGGGUACCGAACGAUGCCCCAUCAAGAUUGCAAAACACCAAAGGCAUGCU
rnacentral:lncRNA from 1 species